GCCUCAUGGCUCAGUGGCAGAGCGGUGGGGCGUUUACCCAUGCGGCCCGGGUUCGAUUCCCGGUCGAUGUA